UUCUGGUUUUUGUUUUUUGUUUGUUUGUUUGUUUGUUUGUUUUUAUGGAGUGCCAUUUCUACUUGAAAGAAUAGUAGAAAAACUGGUUUUUCAGACUUGGGUAUUGGGCAGACAUUUUCUUGAAAAUGAAUGUGUGAACCUUCAAAGUAAACAUUGACUGUAUUUGUCACCAACAAUAAUACUUGAGCUUUCAAGCAAAAUCAGAAUUUUGCAAAACUUGCAUCCACAAUCAUAGCCUAAGGAUUUUCUGAAGCAAUCUGUGGUGAUAAUGAAAAAGGCUAAAGGCUUUUUUUCUCCUUGGAGGAGAAAUGAUGGAGGAUCCAGAGCCUAAUGUUGAUCUUCCUCGGUUUUACUAUGACCAUUGUAAUUCAUAUAACAUCAAACCCAUGGCCAUUUAAUAAAGAAUACCAUUGCUGUAGUAACAAGGUGACCCUGGGUAAGGCUAGACCCAAGAUUGUUUGAGCCCUUAGUAAGGAGUAUCUGAAAAGAUGUCAAUCUGGAACUGUAAUGUCUUCUCCUGGGUGAGGUAGAGGUGGUGUUUGAGCUCAUAUACUGAGGAUGGAUGCAUCAGCAUCUCUUGGUUCAAUUCCAGCUAUUAGGGUAGUCCACCCAGCUUCCUUUACUCUAGCAGUGGAAACUUCAAUCCACUUCUGAUGAAAUGUAUUCUGGCACAGAGAAAUGUAAAUCUGGCCUUAUGAAUGAGCUAAGAAUCACACAAUAAGCAAAUAUUUCAUUUCCUGAAGUCUCAGUUUUUGUGUCUUAAAUCACAUUACAUGUGAAAGAUCAACAGCAUAGCCCAGGUGUGGCUGAGACAUAAGAAUAGUUAUUUGAAAAGAUUUAACUUUACAGGAAAUGUACUGUUCUAUUAUUCCUAAAAUAUGACUGUUGAAACAUUCUUUAGACAUUCUGUACUAUAGUUUUUACUUUUUACAUUGUGUGUCCAGGGCAUGGGUAAAAUGGAACAAUUCUUACAACCAUGUUUGCACUGAAUAGUGCUUCCUUGCUUUAAUUUAUUGGUCUGGGUAAACAAUCGGAUUAUGAAGUGAUCAUGUUCUUUUUCUUCAAUAAUAUGAACAGAUAAAUGCAAAGACUGAGAACACAGGGCUGUUGUUUUACUCGCCAAGCACAAGGCUGAAGUGAUACAAACUGCUGCUAUUGGAAUCCCUAAUGCUGCACCUGUUUCCACCUUUCAUCAGGAUAUAUUGUUGGUGAAAGGAGUAACAUCUAUUAAAUUCAUCCACAGAAGGUUUUCAUCAAUUGCUACUUCAGCCAACUGUGUUGGUGUCAAUGUCCCACUGGUAUCUACUUCAUUUUUUAUUACAUUUUUUAUUUGUACUCAAGUGUGUUUUAUAAACGUAAAUCUCUAUCUAUUCCAGAUUUUAUAAGAAUAUUACUUUAUCUUGUUAGUGUCCACCAAAAUGUCUUAAUUCAUAGUGUUCAAGCUCUCUAGAUCUAACAGUUCGUUCCAUGUUUCAAAAAGAUCAGUUUCUUAUCUUUGGUUCCAAGGUAAAUAUAACAAUAUAUAACAACUCUCCUCCUUGGAAGAUUGAAUUAGCUAGCAUAUUUUCAAAUUAUCAGAUACACUGAUUAGUUCAUCCACUGUCAUGUGUCCCAAGACAAUAUUAAGAUUGCUUUGAGUGAAGUGUUGUCAUACUCACAAAGUCAUCUGCUAGACUGCCUUUUACAAAUUCUUAUGGCAUGCUCAUACCCCAAAGCACACUGUAUUUAUCUUUCUGGUGUUUUAAAUGUCUUCAUAAUAGACCCAUAACACAAUGAAUUACUAAUUUCACAACCCAGUACUAUUAACUUCAUCUUUAAUAAAAGCGGCUCUCUAAUACAGGAAUUCACCAACUGUCCUCGGUAUAUCAUACUUCAAAGAUAGCAAAAAGAACAAUAAUGUUUCCAUUUACAGAGAACAAUAACAUUUUGUACAUAGCCUAUGACUGAUAACAUAUGAAAAAUUCUGCCAAAAAGUGGAGGAGACUAUGGCAUAUUCAAUGUCUGGGGCUGGGAAAAAGAAGUAAAAUUACUUCUCUAUUUCAUACCACUCAUAAAAGUACAUACCAGAAAGAUUAAACACACACACACACACACACACACACACACACACACACACACAAUUUUUUUAAGUUUGAAGAAAAUAUAAAAAAAUUAUUUUAAAACUGUGGGGUGAGAAAAGUCUGCCUCAGCAUGAUCCCAAAACUAGAGACCCUAAAGGGAAAGGUUGAGUGAUAGGACUACCUAAAAAUGUAGAUCAUCUACACAGAAGGACAUGAACAAAGUUAAAUGAAGUAAGAGAUGCAUGGAAAGAUACACAUGAUUUGUUUUAAGUGAAAUAAAAGUUGCAAAACAGAACAAUGGACGAUCAGUUAAUUUUCUGUUAAAAAUGUGAAUACAUAUAUCAUUUAUGUUUCUAUAUGCAUAAAACAUAUUAGACUUGUAAUAGUAGCUAACUGUAAUGAUGGGUAAGAAAAAGGCAGUUUUAUGUUUCACUUUAUAUGUUUAUCUGUUUUAAUUUUUAAUAAGCAUGAGUUAUUUCUAUGGUUUAAUAAAAUAAAAUAAAGAAGAUUAAAAAUGA